GCGGACGUGGCGGAACGGCAGACGCUGCGGUCUUAAACACCGCUGGGGCGACCCGUGCGGGUUCGAAUCCCGCCGUCCGCA
rnacentral:tRNA from 1 species